GGGGUUGUAGCUUAGUGGUAGAGUGCUUACCUAGCAUGUGUGAGACACUGGGUUCAAUCCUCAGCACCACA
rnacentral:tRNA from 1 species